rnacentral:rRNA from 1 species
ACUUUAAAUUGGGAGGAAGGGCAGUAAGUAAUACCUUGCUGUUUUGACGUUACCGACAGAAUAAGCACCGGCUAACUCUGUGCCAGCAGCCGCGGUAAUACAGAGGGUGCAAGCGUUUAUCGGAAUUACUGGGCGUAAAGCGCGCGUAGGUGGUUUGUUAAGUUGGAUGUGAAAGCCCCGGGCUCAACCUGGGAAGUGCAUCCAAAACUGGCAAGCUAGAGUCCGGUAGAGGGUGGUGGAAUCUCCGGUGUAGCGGUGAAAUGCGUAGAUAUAGGAAGGACCACCAGUGGCGAAGGCGACCACCUGGACUGAUACUGACAUGAGGUGCGAAAGCGUGGGGAGCAACCAGGAUUAGAUACCCUGGUAGUCCACGCGGUAAACGAUGUCAACUAGCCGUAGGAAUCCUUGAGAUUUUAGUGGCGCAGCUAACGCAUUAAGCUGACCGCCUGGGGAGUACGGCCGCAAGGUUAAAACUCAAAUGAAUUGACGGGGGCCCGCACAAGCGGUGGAGCAUGUGGUUUAAUUCGAAGCAACGCGAAGAACCUUACCAGGCCUUGACAUGCAGAGAACUCUCCAGAGAUGGAGUGGUGCCUUCGGGAACUCUGACACAGAUGUUGCAUGGCGGUCGUCAGCUCGUGUCUUGAGAUGUUGGGUUAAGUCCCGUAACGAGCGCAACCCCUGUCAUUAGUGACCAGCACGUUAUGGUGGGCACUCUAAGGAGACUGCCGGUGACAAACCGGAGGAAGGUGGGGAUGACGUCAAGUCAUCAUGGCCCUUACGGCCUGGGCUACACACGUGCUACAAUGGUCGGUACAGAGGGUUGCCAAGCCGCGAGGUGGAGCUAAUCUCACAAAACCGAUCGUAGUCCGGAUCGCAGUCUGCAACUCGACUGCGUGAAGUCGGAAUCGCUAGUAAUCGCGAAUCAGAAUGUCGCGGUGAAUACGUUCCCGGGCCUUGUACACACCGCCCGUCACACCAUGGGAGUGGGUUGCACCAGAAGUAGGUAGUGUAACCGU